rnacentral:ncRNA from 2 species
GCUUUAUCAAGAGCGGUGGAGGGUGCAGGCCCUGUGAUACCGCGGCAACCGGCCAGAGACUGAAAAACAGUACUCUGGAACAUGGUGCCAAUGCCUGCCUGAGAGGUUUUACCUCGAGGGAGCGAUAAAUG